rnacentral:rRNA from 1 species
UACGAAGGGGGCUAGCGUUGCUCGGAAUCACUGGGCGUAAAGGGUGCGUAGGCGGGUCUUUAAGUCAGAGGUGAAAUCCUGGAGCUCAACUCCAGAACUGCCUUUGAUACUGAGGAUCUUGAGUACGGGAGAGGUGAGUGGAACUGCGAGUGUAGAGGUGAAAUUCGUAGAUAUUCGCAAGAACACCAGUGGCAAAGGCGGCUCACUGGCCCGUAACUGACGCUGAGGCACGAAAGCGUGGGGAGCAAACAGG